GGGCCCGUAGCUCAAUGGUAGAGCAAUUGCCUCUUAAGCAAUGGGUUGAAGGUCCGAAUCCUUCCGGGCUCACCA
rnacentral:tRNA from 1 species